GUCCUGGCAGUAAACGGUGCGCGUUUGGUGUGGGAGGAUUCGACCCCUUCUGUGCCGGAGCUAACGCGUUAAACGCGCCGCCUGGGGAGUACGGUCGCAAGAUUAAAACUCAAAGAAAUUGACGGGGCCCGCACAAGCGGUGGAGUAUGUGGCUUAAUUCGAUGCAACGCGAAGAACCUUACCUGGCCUUGACAUGCAUCUCUAAGCCGGUGAAAGCCGGCGACCGUAGCAAUACGGAAUUUGCACAGGUGCUGCAUGGCUGUCGU
rnacentral:rRNA from 1 species